rnacentral:rRNA from 1 species
CACAAGCGGUGGAGCAUGUGGUUAAUUCGAAGCAACGCGAAGAACCUUACCAGGCCUUGACAUGCAGAGAACUUUCCAGAGAUGGAUUGGUGCCUUCGGGAACUCUGACACAGGUGCUGCAUGGCUGUCGUCAGCUCGUGUCGUGAGAUGUUGGGUUAAGUCCGUAACGAGCGCAACCCUUGUCCUUAGUUACCAGCACGUUAUGGUGGGCACUCUAAGGAGACUGCCGGUGACAAACCGGAGGAAGGUGGGGAGUGACGUCAAGUCAUCAUGGCCCUUACGGCCUGGGCUACACACGUGCUACAAUGGUCGGUACAAAGGGUUGGCCAAGCCGCGAGGUGGAGCUAAUCCCAUAAAACCGAAUCGUAGUCCGGAUCGCAGUCUGCAACUCGACUGCGUGAAGUCGGAAUCGCUAGUAAUCGUGAAUCAGAAUGUCACGGUGAAUACGUUCCCGGGCCUU